rnacentral:rRNA from 1 species
CCCUUAGAUGUUCUGGGCCGCACGCGUGCUACACUGAAUGGAUCAGCGGGUCAGGUUGCGCGAAAGCGUUUCCUAAUCUUUAAAUCCGCUCGUGAUGGGGAUUGACGGUUGCAAUUUUCUGUCAUGAACGAGGAAUACCUUGUAAGCGCGGGUCAUCAUCCCGCGCUGAAUACGUCCCUGCCCUUUGUACACACCGCCCGUCGCUCCUACCGAUUGAGUGGUCCGGUGAGGCUUUGGGAUCUGAGCGGAAAGAGCGUUUCGCUGUUUCUGCUCGGAAAACUCAGUCGAACCUUAUCAUUUAGAGGAAGGAGAAGUCGUAACA